rnacentral:rRNA from 1 species
GAUGAACGCUAGCUACAGGCUUAACACAUGCAAGUCGAGGGGCAGCAUGGUCUUAGCUUGCUAAGGCCGAUGGCGACCGGCGCACGGGUGAGUAACACGUAUCCAACCUGCCGUCUACUCUUGGACAGCCUUCUGAAAGGAAGAUUAAUACAAGAUGGCAUCAUGAGUCCACAUGUUCACAUGAUUAAAGGUAUUCCGGUAGACGAUGGGGAUGCGUUCCAUUAGAUAGUAGGCGGGGUAACGGCCCACCUAGUCUUCGAUGGAUAGGGGUUCUGAGAGGAAGGUCCCCCACAUUGGAACUGAGACACGGUCCAAACUCCUACGGGAGGCAGCAGUGAGGAAUAUUGGUCAAUGGGCGAGAGCCUGAACCAGCCAAGUAGCGUGAAGGAUGACUGCCCUAUGGGUUAUAAACUUCUUUUAUAAAGGAAUAAAGUCGGGUAUGCAUACCCGUUUGCAUGUACUUUAUGAAUAAGGAUCGGCUAACUCCGUGCCAGCAGCCGCGGUAAUACGGAGGAUCCGAGCGUUAUCCGGAUUUAUUGGGUUUAAAGGGAGCGUAGAUGGAUGUUUAAGUCAGUUGUGAAAGUUUGCGGCUCAACCGUAAAAUUGCAGUUGAUACUGGAUAUCUUGAGUGCAGUUGAGGCAGGCGGAAUUCGUGGUGUAGCGGUGAAAUGCUUAGAUAUCACGAAGAACUCCGAUUGCGAAGGCAGCCUGCUAAGCUGCAACUGACAUUGAGGCUCGAAAGUGUGGGUAUCAAACAGGAUUAGAUACCCUGGUAGUCCACACGGUAAACGAUGAAUACUCGCUGUUUGCGAUAUACAGCAAGCGGCCAAGCGAAAGCGUUAAGUAUUCCACCUGGGGAGUACGCCGGCAACGGUGAAACUCAAAGGAAUUGACGGGGGCCCGCACAAGCGGAGGAACAUGUGGUUUAAUUCGAUGAUACGCGAGGAACCUUACCCGGGCUUAAAUUGCAGAUGAAUUACGGUGAAAGCCGUAAGCCGCAAGGCAUCUGUGAAGGUGCUGCAUGGUUGUCGUCAGCUCGUGCCGUGAGGUGUCGGCUUAAGUGCCAUAACGAGCGCAACCCUUGUUGUCAGUUACUAACAGGUUCCGCUGAGGACUCUGACAAGACUGCCAUCGUAAGAUGUGAGGAAGGUGGGGAUGACGUCAAAUCAGCACGGCCCUUACGUCCGGGGCUACACACGUGUUACAAUGGGGGGUACAGAGGGCCGCUACCACGCGAGUGGAUGCCAAUCCCCAAAACCUCUCUCAGUUCGGACUGGAGUCUGCAACCCGACUCCACGAAGCUGGAUUCGCUAGUAAUCGCGCAUCAGCCACGGCGCGGUGAAUACGUUCCCGGGCCU